GGGUUGUGAGGUUAAGCGACUAAGCGUACACGGUGGAUGCCCUGGCAGUCAGAGGCGAUGAAGGACGUGCUAAUCUGCGAUAAGCGUCGGUGAGGUGAUAUGAACCGUUAUAACCGGCGAUUUCCGAAUGGGGAAACCCAGUGUGUUUCGACACACUAUCAUUAACUGAAUCCAUAGGUUAAUGAGGCGAACCGGGGGAACUGAAACAUCUAAGUACCCCGAGGAAAAGAAAUCAACCGAGAUUCCCCCAGUAGCGGCGAGCGAACGGGGAGGAGCCCAGAGCCUGAAUCAGGGUGUGUGUUAGUGGAAGCGUCUGGAAAGGCGCGCGAUACAGGGUGACAGCCCCGUACACAAAAAUGCACAUACUGUGAGCUCGAUGAGUAGGGCGGGACACGUGGUAUCCUGUCUGAAUAUGGGGGGACCAUCCUCCAAGGCUAAAUACUCCUGACUGACCGAUAGUGAACCAGUACCGUGAGGGAAAGGCGAAAAGAACCCCGGCGAGGGGAGUGAAAAAGAACCUGAAACCGUGUACGUACAAGCAGUGGGAGCCUCUUAAUGGGGUGACUGCGUACCUUUUGUAUAAUGGGUCAGCGACUUAUAUUCUGUAGCAAGGUUAACCGAAUAGGGGAGCCGAAGGGAAACCGAGUCUUAACUGGGCGUUAAGUUGCAGGGUAUAGACCCGAAACCCGGUGAUCUAGCCAUGGGCAGGUUGAAGGUUGGGUAACACUAACUGGAGGACCGAACCGACUAAUGUUGAAAAAUUAGCGGAUGACUUGUGGCUGGGGGUGAAAGGCCAAUCAAACCGGGAGAUAGCUGGUUCUCCCCGAAAGCUAUUUAGGUAGCGCCUCGUGAAUUCAUCUCCGGGGGUAGAGCACUGUUUCGGCAAGGGGGUCAUCCCGACUUACCAACCCGAUGCAAACUGCGAAUACCGGAGAAUGUUAUCACGGGAGACACACGGCGGGUGCUAACGUCCGUCGUGAAGAGGGAAACAACCCAGACCGCCAGCUAAGGUCCCAAAGUCAUGGUUAAGUGGGAAACGAUGUGGGAAGGCCCAGACAGCCAGGAUGUUGGCUUAGAAGCAGCCAUCAUUUAAAGAAAGCGUAAUAGCUCACUGGUCGAGUCGGCCUGCGCGGAAGAUGUAACGGGGCUAAACCAUGCACCGAAGCUGCGGCAGCGACGCUUAUGCGUUGUUGGGUAGGGGAGCGUUCUGUAAGCCUGUGAAGGUGGCCUGUGAGGGUUGCUGGAGGUAUCAGAAGUGCGAAUGCUGACAUAAGUAACGAUAAAGCGGGUGAAAAGCCCGCUCGCCGGAAGACCAAGGGUUCCUGUCCAACGUUAAUCGGGGCAGGGUGAGUCGACCCCUAAGGCGAGGCCGAAAGGCGUAGUCGAUGGGAAACAGGUUAAUAUUCCUGUACUUGGUGUUACUGCGAAGGGGGGACGGAGAAGGCUAUGUUGGCCGGGCGACGGUUGUCCCGGUUUAAGCGUGUAGGCUGGUUUUCCAGGCAAAUCCGGAAAACCAAGGCUGAGGCGUGAUGACGAGGCACUACGGUGCUGAAGCGACAAAUGCCCUGCUUCCAGGAAAAGCCUCUAAGCAUCAGGUAACAUCAAAUCGUACCCCAAACCGACACAGGUGGUCAGGUAGAGAAUACCAAGGCGCUUGAGAGAACUCGGGUGAAGGAACUAGGCAAAAUGGUGCCGUAACUUCGGGAGAAGGCACGCUGAUAUGUAGGUGAAGCGACUUGCUCGUGGAGCUGAAAUCAGUCGAAGAUACCAGCUGGCUGCAACUGUUUAUUAAAAACACAGCACUGUGCAAACACGAAAGUGGACGUAUACGGUGUGACGCCUGCCCGGUGCCGGAAGGUUAAUUGAUGGGGUUAGCGGUAACGCGAAGCUCUUGAUCGAAGCCCCGGUAAACGGCGGCCGUAACUAUAACGGUCCUAAGGUAGCGAAAUUCCUUGUCGGGUAAGUUCCGACCUGCACGAAUGGCGUAAUGAUGGCCAGGCUGUCUCCACCCGAGACUCAGUGAAAUUGAACUCGCUGUGAAGAUGCAGUGUACCCGCGGCAAGACGGAAAGACCCCGUGAACCUUUACUAUAGCUUGACACUGAACAUUGAGCCUUGAUGUGUAGGAUAGGUGGGAGGCUUUGAAGUGUGGACGCCAGUCUGCAUGGAGCCGACCUUGAAAUACCACCCUUUAAUGUUUGAUGUUCUAACGUGGGCCCGUAAUCCGGGUUGCGGACAGUGUCUGGUGGGUAGUUUGACUGGGGCGGUCUCCUCCUAAAGAGUAACGGAGGAGCACGAAGGUUGGCUAAUCCUGGUCGGACAUCAGGAGGUUAGUGCAAUGGCAUAAGCCAGCUUGACUGCGAGCGUGACGGCGCGAGCAGGUGCGAAAGCAGGUCAUAGUGAUCCGGUGGUUCUGAAUGGAAGGGCCAUCGCUCAACGGAUAAAAGGUACUCCGGGGAUAACAGGCUGAUACCGCCCAAGAGUUCAUAUCGACGGCGGUGUUUGGCACCUCGAUGUCGGCUCAUCACAUCCUGGGGCUGAAGUAGGUCCCAAGGGUAUGGCUGUUCGCCAUUUAAAGUGGUACGCGAGCUGGGUUUAGAACGUCGUGAGACAGUUCGGUCCCUAUCUGCCGUGGGCGCUGGAGAACUGAGGGGGGCUGCUCCUAGUACGAGAGGACCGGAGUGGACGCAUCACUGGUGUUCGGGUUGUCAUGCCAAUGGCACUGCCCGGUAGCUAAAUGCGGAAGAGAUAAGUGCUGAAAGCAUCUAAGCACGAAACUUGCCCCGAGAUGAGUUCUCCCUGACUCCUUGAGGGUCCUGAAGGAACGUUGAAGACGACGACGUUGAUAGGCCGGGUGUGUAAGCGCAGCGAUGCGUUGAGCUAACCGGUACUAAUGAACCGUGAGGCUUAACCUUACAA
rnacentral:rRNA from 1 species